rnacentral:tRNA from 1 species
GUUUUUAUAGUUAAAAAAAAAUAUUGGUCUUGUAAACCAAAGUUAAGUUAUAUACUUUAAAAACU